rfam:Oryza glumipatula chromosome 8, whole genome shotgun sequence.
AAUAAGUGUAGUUUUGUACUAUUCACGUUCAACGUUUGACCGUUCGUCUUAUUUGAAAAUUUUUUAUGAUUAGUAUUUUUAUUGCUAUUAGAUGAUAAAACAUAAAUAGUACUUUAUAUGUGACUAAAUAUUUUUAAAUUUUUCAUAAAUUUUUUAAAUAAGACGGAUGGUUAAACAUGGGGCACGGAUAUCUACGGCUGCACUUAUU